rnacentral:lncRNA from 1 species
GGGAAGUCCAAGCCACAAUGAGGAGUCAGAUCUCAUGAUAGACAACAUGAACAAGAGGAAGAAGGAAAAAGAGGAAAAGGAGGAGAGGAUGAGAAGAAUGGCCAAUCUGGGGUGCCAAUGUGAUUUUGAACCAGGCAAGAAACUAGAAAUUCAACCUGGAGAACUGGACUUCCAUUGAACCAAAUGAUCCCAUGUUCCUCUUGGACUGGCAUUUAUUUGCUGAAUACUUCCAUGUUCCUAUCUCAUGCUAGCCUCUCUGUUGGUGCAGCUCUGGAAACACUGUAAGAAUACCAUCCAUUCUAUGAGGGCUGGGAGGGUGGCUGUAUCCAUGUCUGCAGCAU